GGGAAGAACAAGUACAAGAGUAACUGCUUGUACCUUGACGGUACCUAACCAGAAAGCCACGGCUAACUACGUGCCAGCAGCCGCGGUAAUACGUAGGUGGCAAGCGUUAUCCGGAAUUAUUGGGCGUAAAGCGCGCGCAGGCGGUUUCUUAAGUCUGAUGUGAAAGCCCACGGCUCAACCGUGGAGGGUCAUUGGAAACUGGGGAACUUGAGUGCAGAAGAGAAAAGCGGAAUUCCACGUGUAGCGGUGAAAUGCGUAGAGAUGUGGAGGAACACCAGUGGCGAAGGCGGCUUUUUGGUCUGUAACUGACGCUGAGGCGCGAAAGCGUGGGGAGCAAACAGGAUUAGAUACCCUGGUAGUCCACGCCGUAAACGAUGAGUGCUAAGUGUUAGAGGGUUUCCGCCCUUUAGUGCUGCAGCUAACGCAUUAAGCACUCCGCCUGGGGAGUACGGUCGCAAGACUG
rnacentral:rRNA from 1 species